GGCUGAUGCUGGACACUGUAGGGACCGAGAAUGCAAAGUCACAUACACUACUGUGACUGAUAAUCCAUCUUUUGUUUUCCUAUCUUAGAUGCACUAUUUCCAGGAUGUGGAGUAGCAUUUCCGGACCUACAGCAAGACGUUGGAUGAAGACGUAGAUUUCCAGACCUAUUCCAGAAGAAUUUGGAUGAAGGCACAGCCCCUGGAAUCACGCACAUACACAGACACAUUUGCCCAAAUUCUAGAGGUAAUCUCCUUUAGUAUGCCCAGAGGAAGGGCAAUACAGUAGCCAUGGAUUCCCUACAGGUUUCCUCCCCUCUGGAGGUUUUUCCUGUCCUGAGUAUUAGUUACUGUACGCUCUUUGUGAGUGAUGGAGGUUACAAAAAAUCCCCUACACAAACAUUUUUAUAUUUAAUAAAUAAAGUUCCCCUUUUUAAACCAUU